CUCAAGGCAAAAGCUCUGUAUUUCCCCAGGCUCCGACACGUGUCAUGGCCAGAAGGAGGGAUGCUGGGUUGGGUCCUGGAGCUCCCUCUGCGAGAGAAGUUAAGAAAGUUUACAGCUUUGUCUUGAGACAUUUGCUGAAGUCAUGUUUCAAGAGGCAAAUCACAUCUGCUGCAACAUGAACCGACCACCAGGCAGUAAGAUGCACAGGUUCUCAGGCUCUGAGACCCUAUGGGAAAUUGCCUAUAGGGCCCCACAGCCUGGGAAACUGGCCUAGAGGUUUUAUGAAGUGACUAAUAUCCUACAGGGAACAGCCGGGUCCCAGGACUUGCAUCAUGGUCAGCAGACCGGCCCCUCUCUGAGCAACACCCUUGGGAUUAUUCACGUCCAUCUGGAAGAAACUAGUCUCUGAGUUUGAUUCAGGACUUCUUUCUCUUUCCCACCUCUUACCCCAGCCAUGUAAUUUGCACAUCGUUUUAUAUUUUCUAUUGGGAAAUCACAAAGCAUCUAAAAGGCAAGCAGUGGUUCUCAAGCUGCAGCCAAAGAAACACCAGAGGCUUUCGCACAAUCCCUUUUUCCUGAAGCCAACUCUGCUGAGGAUGUGAUGUGGAUACGGAUGUCCGGGAAGCUGGUGUCGGUGGCGGGCUGUGUUCUCAGGCCCAGGGACGCUGUGGCAGGGACUGGAUGGGAAUGCAGCAGGGCCGUGUAUUAGCUGUGCAGCCUUGGGAAAAGUACUUCAUUGUUCUGAGCCUCAUUUUCUUAUUUGUCUGUUCUGAUUGCCUUUCAGUGACACCAUAGAGAUUAUUUUUCAGCUUGCUCCUCUGUGAGGAUCAAAUCUAUUGAAGUAUCUAAAGUACCUGGCACAGGGUCCUGCACAUACACCUCAUUUAAAUGAUCAAGUACAUACUAAGCAGCUCAUGUUCAAUUCUGAAAACUGUCCUGGGCCUGGGCCAUGUGUUCGGAGUGUGGAGAAGAGGGAGCCAGUAUUCCCCUCCCCUGGUCAGGGGGCCUGGGUCUGCGCCAGAGAACAGAAGGGCCGGCAGCCAGGCCUCUGUCCCCAAGAGCUGGGGCGCACAUUAAAGCCUGUCAUGGCUCAGGAACUGGGCCCGCUGCGCUGGGCAUCUGGAUGUUCUUAGAUCUCUGUCUGGAUUCCUUCUGCUUGUCUUGUGGAAUUACUUAUCAGCAGCAGGCAGACCAGACCCUGGGCUUUCCUCCCCACAUGGCCCAGCCCCAGGCCUUCCUAUCCGUAAACACUAGUGCAGGGGAUGGGGGAGUUGCUUCAGGACCUGUGGAUGAGGCUUCCCUGUGUGCUCCUCGGCCCCCUACGGCAGCUGCUGCUGUCUCUGUACAAAAGCAGGACCUCCAGCCUGUGCCCAGCUGCCCUCAGCAACCUGCAUCUUCAGAUGAGAGAUGUGUAGGAAUCAGAAGGGAAUUUCAAAAUUAUUUGAAAAGUGUGACUGUUGAGGGCUGUCACUUGUAUCUACUCCCUGGACCAUUUUUCCCCCACAAUACUCCUGUUAUCACCCCCUUCCCUCCAGGGUUGAUUCCACUUUUCUUUGGUUAGACCCAUGGUGACAUCCCUUUGCGCUUGUGAAUCCGAGGGUGGAGGCGGGUUGGUGUUGGAAACCAUGCCCGGCCUUUGCAGUUCUGUCCAAUCAGCAAUUCUAGGCAGGAAUUUCAGGGAUGCAGGGAGGGAAUUACCCCUGAAUAGGAAACUUCUGGAGAUAGAGGCCUUUGGGCAACCCUCGGAUCCCUCUGAAAUUAGCAUGUUGAUGCUUGGUCCUCGUCUUGUUUUGCUAUUCUUGGUGGCAGGUGAUGCCAUCAGUCUCGCUCUCUUGCUGUGCUUCCUCAGUGGGCCUUUGGACUGCCACUCUCCCUGGCUCUCCCUCCUGCUUCUCUGGUCCCUACUCAGCCCCUUCUGCUGGUUCUCGGUCUUCUCCUCAAUCUCUUAGCUUUGGGGUGUGCUUGGUUCUCUGUCCUUUAUUCUCUUCUCCUCCAGUCUGUGGGCUUCAGAAGGCAUCUAUGUGCCAGUAACUCCACAUUGUAACUCCAGCCCCUGUAACUCCACUCCCUCUGACUCCACACACAGGGAACUCACAGGACAGUCAUCUCGGAAUUCACACGGCCACAGCUGAACGCCUGGUCUCCGCCACACAGCGGCUCAUUACAGUCCUCUCCUGCUCUGCAAUUUCCCUUCCAGGCUCCCAGUUUCUGAGGCCAACGCCCCUGCGGUGGUGCUCCACACCUCUCUGUUUCUCACAACUCACAUUCGUCAGCGAAGCCUGUUGGAUCUGCUUACAACUCUCUGGGGCAGCCAGCGGCUUCUGGCUCCUCAUGGCCCCCCUGCCAGGAUGAGCCCCGGCUCUGCCUCCCUGGGAGUUCUGCAGUGGCUCUGUCGCCCUUCUCAAUACCUUCUUGAUGCUAUUCCUGCUUUCCUGUCAGCUGCGUGUCCUCCAAAGAAGCCAGAGCAGAGAGACCAUGAUUCUCUUCUUUCCUCCCCGUCUUCAAAUCUUUUCUCAAAUACCAGCUCUUCAAUAUGCCUGCCUUGACCACUCUGUGAGGUGGCAGCAUGCUCCUCCGCCCCUCCCAACUCCCAUCUGCCCAACUCCAGGACCCUACUCAAUGCCCAUUGCAGUUUCUUUUGCUCAUGGUUUGUCGUCUGUCUUCCCUCACCAGGUCGCAAGCUCUACUUUGAGUCUCAAGAGCCUUGUGACACAUGGCAGGUGCUCUGGAGUGGACACAGCACUGCCACUUUUGACAGCUGUCCCCUUUGUCACCCUCAGGUUGUGACCCAAAUGUCCCUUCCUCAAGGACGGUCCUGGGCAGAGCCGGCCCCCCCUCUGCCACCCUACUGCUCUGUCCCAGCACCAUCUUUCAGAGGUCGUCAUCAGCACUUGUGAAUGCACAUUUGCCUCAUGCUCACGUGUUUAUUGUCCGUCUCCUACACCCGCACCCCCAGUCACAGUGUUUACUUCAUUCUCUAGGGUCUUCCUAGUGCUUGGCAUAGACCUGCACGGAAUAGACAUGAAUUAAGUAAAUAUUUGUUCACUAACUGGGAAGCACUUUAUAUAUACUCUUGUAUUUGAUGAUCACAGCCAUCCUGUAAAAUGAGUAUUAUUUAAAUGCC